rnacentral:rRNA from 1 species
AUGAUUGCUCUUAUCGGUAUGGCUCCUACCGAGGAGGAGGGAGAAGAGAAGAAGAAGAGGGAAAGGAAAGCAGCCGGAGCUGCUUUCACGUGGAUUCAAAAUAACUUUGCGACGUGCCCUGCGUGCCCCACUGAUGAUGUGAUCUAGACACAUGCUUGUGUCUAUAUGUGGUACGUUGUCUCGAGGACUUUGUUUCCUAACUCCACGGGCAAGAACGCUCCAUGA